rnacentral:rRNA from 1 species
AUACGAAGGGGGCUAGCGUUGUUCGGAUUUACUGGGCGUAAAGCGCACGUAGGCGGAUUGAUAAGUUAGGGGUGAAAUCCCGAGGCUCAACCUCGGAACUGCCUCUAAUACUGUCAAUCUCGAGACCGGAAGAGGUGAGUGGAACUCCUAGUGUAGAGGUGGAAUUCGUAGAUAUUAGGAAGAACACCAGUGGCGAAGGCGGCUCACUGGUCCGGUACUGACGCUGAGGUGCGAAAGCGUGGGGAGCGAACAGGAUUAGAAACCCUUGUAGUCC